rnacentral:rRNA from 1 species
UGUGAUUUCUUAGAUCGUUGCUUUCCUUCGGGAAAGUCUGGAUAACUGUGGCAAUUCUAGAGCUAAUACAUGCAACCAAGCUCCGACCUUCGUGGGAAGAGCGCUCUUAUUAGACCGAGGCCAACCUGCUGGGCAACUGGCAGUUUGCUGUGGUGACUCUGAAUAAGCACAGUUGAUCGCACGACUUUACGUCGGCGACGUAUCUUUCAAGCGUAUGCCCUAUCAGCUGUCGACGGUAGGGUAGUGGCCUACCGUGGCAUCAACGGGUAACGGGGGAUCAGGGUCCGAUCCCGGAGAGUAAGCCUGAGAGACGGCUUACACAUCUAAGGAAGGCAGCAGGCGCGCAAAUUACCCAAUGGGGACACCCUGAGGUAGUGACAAGAAAUAACAAUACGCGACUCUUUCGAGGCCGCGUAAUUGGAAUGAGCACAGUYUAAAUCCUUUAGCGAGGAUCAAUUGGAGGGCAAGUCUGGUGCCAGCAGCCGCGGUAAUUCCAGCUCCAAUAGCGUAUAUUAAAGUUGCUGCAGUUAAAAAGCUCGUAGUUGACAAUCGGUGCUCGUCUCGGCGGUCCUGUUCACGCAGGCACUGCCUUGAUGGCCUCUACACACUGGCUUGAGGUCGGGCAGGCUGGGCAACUGGCGGUUCGACCAAAGCCCCGGGUGCCCUUUAUUGGGUGCCCGUGGGUGGCCUUUGCGUUUACUUUGAAGAAAUUAGAGUGUUCAAAGCGGGCUAUCUAUAGCUCGUAUACUCGUACAUGGAAUAAUGGAAUAGGACCCUGGGUCAUUUCCGUUGGUCUAUGGCCAUUGGGUAAUGAUUAAAAGGGACUGCCGGGGGCAUUGGUAUGG